CCUACGGGAGGCAGCAGUGGGGAAUAUUGCGCAAUGGGCGAAAGCCUGACGCAGCGACGCAGCGUGAGGGAUGAAGGCCUUCGGGUUGUAAACCUCUUUCAGCGGGGACGAAGCGAAAGUGACGGUACCCGCAGAAGAAGCACCGGCUAACUACGUGCCAGCAGCCGCGGUAAUACGUAGGGUGCAAGCAUUGUCCGGAUUUAUUGGGCGUAAAGAGCUCGUAGGCGGCUUGUCACGUCGGGUGUGAAAACUUGGGGCUCAACCCCAAGCCUGCACUCGAUACGGGCUAGCUAGAGUGUUGCAGGGGAGACUGGAAUUCCUGGUGUAGCGGUGAAAUGCGCAGAUAUCAGGAGGAACACCGGUGGCGAAGGCGGGUCUCUGGGCAACUACUGACGCUGAGGAGCGAAAGCGUGGGGAGCGAACAGGAUUAGAUACCCUGGUAGUCCACGCCGUAAACGGUGGGCGCUAGGUGUGGGGAACCUUCCACGUUCUCUGUGCCGCNGCUACGACAUAAGCGCCCGCCGUCGGGAGGUACGGCCGCGACGGACGUAAACGUUAAACGUAAGUAAGUUAGUUACGGCGUGAGACGUGCCGACGGCGACGACGAGGGAGGAGG
rnacentral:rRNA from 1 species